rnacentral:rRNA from 1 species
UACGUAGGAGGCAAGCGUUGUCCGGAAUUACUGGGUGUAAAGCGCGUGUAGGCGGCAGGCCAAGUCUGUGGUGAAAUCGCUCGGCUCAACUGGGCGGGGUCCAUGGAAACUGGUCAGCUGGAGGACGGUAGAGGUGAGUGGAAUUCCCGGUGUAGUGGUGAAAUGCGUAGAGAUCGGGAGGAACACCCGUGGCGAAGGCGGCUCACUGGGCCGGUCCUGACGCUGAGGCGCGAAAGCUAGGGGAGCAAACAGG